rnacentral:rRNA from 1 species
GGGGCAGAUGACUUAGCUUGCUAAGUUGAUGGCGACCGGCGCACGGGUGAGUAACACGUAUCCACCUGCCGAUGACUCGGGGAUAGCCUUUCGAAAGAAAGAUUAAUACCCGAUGGCUCCGCAUGGUUAAAGAAUUUCGGUCAUCGAUGGGGAUGCGUUCCAUUAGGUUGUUGGCGGGGUAACGGCCCACCAAGCCUUCGAUGGAUAGGGGUUCUGAGAGGAAGGUCCCCCACAUUGGAACUGAGACACGGUCCAAACUCCACGGGAGGCAGCAGUGAGGAAUAUUGGUCAAUGGGCGAGAGCCUGAACCAGCCAAGUAGCGUGAAGGACGACGGCCUACGGGUUGUAAACUUCUUUUAUAAGGGAAUAAGUUCGCCACGUGUGGUGUUUUGUAUGUACCUUAUGAAUAAGCAUCGGCUAAUUCCGUGCCAGCAGCCGCGGUAAUACGGAAGAUGCGAGCGUUAUCCGGAUUUAUUGGGUUUAAAGGGAGCGUAGGCGGGCUUUUAAGUCAGCGGUCAAAUGCCACGGCUCAACCGUGGCCAGCCGUUGAAACUGUAAGCCUUGAGUCUGCACAGGGCACAUGGAAUUCGUGGUGUAGCGGUGAAAUGCUUAGAUAUCACGAAGAACUCCGAUCGCGAAGGCAUUGUGCCGGGGCAGCACUGACGCUGAGGCUCGAAAGUGCGGGUAUCAAACAGGAUUAGAUACCCUGGUAGUCCGCACGGUAAACGAUGAGUGCU